rnacentral:rRNA from 1 species
GGGUUGUGAGGUUAAGCGACUAAGCGUACACGGUGGAUGCCCUGGCAGUCAGAGGCGAUGAAGGGCGUGCUAAUCUGCGAUAAGCGCCGGUAAGGUGAUAUGAACCGUUAUAACCGGCGAUACCCGAAUGGGGAAACCCAGUGUGAUUCGUCACACUAUCAUUAACUGAAUCCAUAGGUUAAUGAGGCGAACCGGGGGAACUGAAACAUCUAAGUACCCCGAGGAAAAGAAAUCAACCGAGAUUCCCCCAGUAGCGGCGAGCGAACGGGGAGGAGCCCAGAGCCUGAAUCAGCAUGUGUGUUAGUGGAAGUGUCUGGAAAGGCGCGCGAUACAGGGUGACAGCCCCGUACACAAAAGCGCAUGUGCUGUGAGCUCGAUGAGUAGGGCGGGACACGUGGUAUCCUGUCUGAAUAUGGGGGGACCAUCCUCCAAGGCUAAAUACUCCUGACUGACCGAUAGUGAACCAGUACCGUGAGGGAAAGGCGAAAAGAACCCCGGCGAGGGGAGUGAAAAAGAACCUGAAACCGUGUACGUACAAGCAGUGGGAGCACAGGUUUACCUGUGUGACUGCGUACCUUUUGUAUAAUGGGUCAGCGACUUAUAUUCUGUAGCAAGGUUAACCG